rnacentral:lncRNA from 1 species
UUUUUUUUUGUAGUGCAAGUCAUCAUCAUCCUGCAGAUCAAUGUCUAAAUCAACAAUUUGUGGAAUGUAAUCUUCAUCUGAAUCCUGCACUACUGAACAACCAACUGUGUCUGCUGCAUCCAUGUCCAAAAAUCUACAGGAUUUCCUGGCCCUAAACCAAAACUGAGAUGAAAGGUAAGUAGUUCCAGGCUGGGGUGGACUUGGUAUGAAAUCAUCUUCUUCUGACUCUGCUACACUUUCUGACUCUGCUUCAUCUUGCUCAUGCUCUUGAUCAUGCUCAUGCUCUUGAUCAUGCUGAGGCAGCUCCUGUUCCACUUGAGGGAGCUCAGCCUGCUCCUGUUCCACUAGAGUGAGCUGAGCCUGCUCCUCUUGCUGCUGUUGUGUCUGCUCUGCUUGCUGCUAGUGUGCAUUAUCCUUCUUUGGCCUAAUGCCACUGAACCUGACAAUUGGAGGAUCCUCAUCAUCAAAGUGGACUUGUACAAUAUAAAUAUAUGAUCUCAUGCUCUCAUCAUGAUCAAGGAAUAUCUGUUGGAAGUGGUUGCCAUUCAGAACACAAUCCUUCAUGUUUUCUGGCAUAGUGUUGUCCCAUGUUGGCUACGACGAACUAAUAAGUUUCUCUUCUUGUCACCUUCUUUAAGCCUUUCCUUCUGCUUCCAUCGAGAAAUAUAUAUAGAUAAGCUUGGAGAAGCGCAUCCGUUUUCUUGCUUGAUUUUUAUACGAUUUUUUGAGCAACUAGCGCGAAAGCCGUUGCGCGUUAGCGCAUCCGUUUUCUUGCUUGAUUUUUAUACCUUAUUUAUUCUCCCGGAACUAGCAAAUCUAAUAGUUCCAUCUGCUCUUCUUAACUUAAGAACGAAGGCCGCCAUCCUUCUUAUUCAGGAACCCUUUGUUUGAGGAGGGCGUAUCCCCGGGAAGGGGAGAGUGGCCGAGCGGUCAAAAGCGACAGACUGUAAAUCUGUUGAAGGUUUUCUACGUAGGUUCGAAUCCUGCCUCUCCCACUUGUUGUAGACUUAAGAGAAGAGAAAGUAGGCGGAAGCCUAGGAGGGCCAACCGAGCGAAGCUCUUUUUGCAUUCUGUUCCGUCUAGAACAUAAGAUGAAACAUAUGGCAUGUUAAUAAAAAUGUGUGAAAAAAAAGUAACCAGUGGAAAAGCAUAACAAAGUAAGUAAGUUUAUGUGUGAAAAAACAUACUUGAUCUCUCUUAAUCCAUUCUUAUAGACUGUCAAUCCAGGAACACACCAAUAAGCCCUGAUCCAGCCCUCAAACUCAUAUCCAAUUUCCUCCACUAGACUGGCAACAACAUUAGGUGUCCUAUUAUCUAUGUCACAGUAAUCAUACCAAAUGGAGUGACCUUUGUGAUAAUCCCUAUGCUCGCCAGCACACAGAAAGUAGCCACCAUGUAUGACCUCAACAGAGAAGUGGUUGCUUAAGGGUCCUGCAAAACAAUCAAUUUGAAAAAGUUCAGACAUUUCAGACUACAGAAAGGUUCAGACAUUUCAGACUACAGUUCAGACAUUCAUACUUUUUUACUUUUUCAGAAAGAAAAACAGAUAUUCAUGGCUCCAAUUAACAAAUGUAUGAUCUUACAGGUAGAAAAGCAACCAUUUUUGGUAAAUCUGACACAAUGUAAUUGCAAAUUAAAACAAUUUUUGGUCCAAUUAACACUCUGACACUAAAAGCAAACUUUACUGCUUAAACCCUAGACCCCUGGAACCAUGACAAAUUGGGGGGAGAAAGAACCCUAACCACUACAGAUCUCUGCAAACAUGGCCAUCUACUGCAAAACCCCAUGACGCAGCCCUAUUUUUGGCCUACCACAAAGUUCUUCAAGAAACUGCUAAAACCCUACCACCCCACACCCAAUCCGUCAGAGAGUAGAACGAACGCCCAAACCCUAGCUCGUACGUGCAAUUGAUGCGACCAAGAACUCGUUACGGGAGCUAAAUUGGACAGAUCGAGCAAGGGAGCUGCUGGCGACGGCGACGUACGGUACAGGGGCGGCGAGGCAUCAUCACGACGACGCGAAGGAGCAAGAGGCACGUCGCGCAGGCCCCUCCCGAACGGCGCGGACGGCGGCGGCUCAGCGUCCGACGACGUGCUCAUGGAGCCGUCGUCGACGCCGACGAGCAAAGGCACUACCUCGGUAGCGACGACGAACAGAGAGGGUGCGGGAGCAGAGAGGGUGCGGGAGGGAGGAGACAGGUGCGGGAGGGUGCGAGCGGGUGCGGUCCGACUAGCUGCGCGAGCGUUUAAUGGUCAGGUGCUGGCGCAUUUGCAAAAAAAACCGAACUACUCGUAUUNNNNNNNNNNNNNNNNNNNNNNNNNNNNNNNNNNNNNNNNNNNNNNNNNNNNNNNNNNNNNNNNNNNNNNNNNNNNNNNNNNNNNNNNNNNNNNNNNNNNNNNNNNNNNNNNNNNNNNNNNNNNNNNNNNNNNNNNNNNNNNNNNNNNNNNNNNNNNNNNNNNNNNNNNNNNNNNNNNNNNNNNNNNNNNNNNNNNNNNNNNNNNNNNNNNNNNNNNNNNNNNNNNNNNNNNNNNNNNNNNNNNGCUACACAGGUGGCGGUUAAAGCCUAGCUAGCAACGGCUGACUCGGUCAAGUCAGCGAAUACGUAGCUCAAUUCAUAUAUACGGACCAAAGUGAACCCUCUGCGCAAGUACAUGGACUGUAGUUCGGGUAUUUUGAAGUAGUGGUACUAAAGUGUCAGCCGGCUCAAGUUUUGUGACCUAUGAUGAAUUUUUCUCUUCCAGCAGUCACCUUUGGGCGAUGUGUUGAAAUCUUUAAAGGAUUUGUCCUUAAAGAAGGACUCACAGCCGAACUAUGUUUGGUUCGAGCUAGAGGCGGAUGAUGGGGAAUUUUUCUUCCCAACCGCCACCCACUUCAUAGCCACUGUCGAUGACUUAACCGACGUGCUUGAUUAUGACUCCGAAGACAUCGACGGUAUGGACGACGAUGCUGACAAGGAGCAAGGCCAAGACCCGCCAUUCACUAGACGUUGGACGGCCACCUCUUCGUACGAUGUGUACAUGGUUGACACACCUAAAAAAGCUAGCGACGACGACAAAGAAGACCCAGUUGCGAAUAAACCUCCUGAGACACAGUCCAAACGCCGGCGCCCUAAACGCCGUUCUAAGCCUCGUCGCUCAAAAUACGGCAACACUGGCACCAGAGAAAAUAGUACUCCGGGUGACGCCGAAAACAAUGAAGACCCUGUCGGGGCCGCAUCCGAACAGAAGGAAUAAGACAACGGGCAAGAUAACCCUGAUAAACAGGCCAUGCCCAAUGACUCAGAUGAUGAUAGUUAUCAUCCAGUCUCCGAGGAUGAUGAGAGCCUCGGCAAUGAGGACUUCAUCGUGCCUGAGGCACCCCUCGAGCAGGAGCGCUUCAAACGCUAGCUCAUAGCCACUGCAAGAAGCCUGAAGAAGAAGCAGCAGCAGCUCCAAGCUGAUCAAGACCUGCUCGUUGACAGGUGGACAGAUUUCCUGGCAGCCGAAGAAUACGGCGUCGAGCGCCCAGCCAAGAGUUACCCAAAGCGCAGACUGCUACCUUAGUUCGAUGAGGAGGCACCAGAUCCCAUACCUCCCUCACGCAAUGCGGACCGACCACCACGCGGUCGGGAUAGUGCGGCGGACCGACCACCCCGCGGUCAGGAUAAAACGGCAACUCAUGCCGAACAACGGCCCGCCCCACCGCCUCGCAAAAACAGGGACAGAACAGCUCGGGACCAUACAUACGACCUUCGGCAGGAUCUGGACAGUAGAGCAGGACAAACCAGAUCAAUAUACGGAUCGUGAGGACGCUUCCCGACUCGGGAUGACAGCUACCUAUUCGGACGUGACGAACCUAGUCACACCCGGGCCGAUAACCGCAGACGGACUUCAUCGGAGGCGCUCCGUGACGCGGCCCGAUAUAGAGGCGCCGCAUACCCUCUCUGCUUCACAGAUGAGGUGCUAGAUCACGAAUUCCCCGAGGGGUUCAAGCCCAUCAAUAUUGAAUCAUACGACGGAACAACCGAUCCCGAAGUAUGGAUUGAGGACUUUAUUCUCCACAUCCACAUGGCCCGUGGAGACGACCUCCACGCCAUCAAAUACCUCCCACUAAAGCUCAAAGGGCCAGCCCGACACUGGCUAAAUAGCCUGCCUGAAAAUUCCAUUGGCAGCUGGGAGGACUUGGAAGAAGCCUUUCUUGACAACUUCCAAGGUACAUAUGUCCGGCCACCCGAUGUCGAUGACUUAAGCCACAUAGUUCAACAACCUGGAGAAUCAGCCAGAAAAUUCUGGACUAGGUUCCUAACCAAAAAGAAUAAGAUCGUUGACUGUCGGGAUGUCGAAGCCCUAGCGGCCUUUAAACACAGCAUCCGUGACGAAUGGCUAGCCCGCCACCUCGGCCAAGAAAAGCCGAGGUCCAUGGCAGCCCUCACGGCACUUAUGACCCGCUUUUGAGCGGGAGAGGAUAGUUGGCUGGCUCNNNNNNNNNNNNNNNNNNNNNNNNNNNNNNNNNNNNNNNNNNNNNNNNNNNNNNNNNNNNNNNNNNNNNNNNNNNNNNNNNNNNNNNNNNNNNNNNNNNNNNNNNNNNNNNNNNNNNNNNNNNNNNNNNNNNNNNNNNNNNNNNNNNNNNNNNNNNNNNNNNNNNNNNNNNNNNNNNNNNNNNNNNNNNNAGGCCAAAAACAGCACCGGCAAGCUCCGGCGCAACAAACAUAAACGUCGAAGCAAUGGCGAUAACACCGAUGACACUACAGUUCAUGCCGGAUUCAGUGGCUCCAAGUCCGGCCAGCGAAAGAAGCCCUAUAAAAGGAACGGCGGAGGACCAUCCAGCUUGGAUCGCAUACUCGAUCGUCCGUGCCAGAUACAUGGCACCCCAGACAAACCAGCCAACCAUACUAACAGAGAGUGCCGAGUCUUUAAACAAGCCAGCAAGGUAAACAGCGGAAACAAGGAAGGGGAAUCGCAGAGCGAGGACGAUGACGAGGAACCCCGGCAGCCGAACACUGGGGGCAGAAGAAAUUCCUGCCUCAAGUCAAAACGGUGAACAUGAUAUAUGCUACACACAUCCCCAAAAGGGAGCGCAAGCGCGCACUCAGGGACGUCUAUGCAGUAGAGCCAGUCACCCCAAAAUUCAACCCAUGGUCAUCAUUCCCGAUCACCUUUGAUAGUCGUGAUCAUCCAACUAGCAUCUGUCAUGGCGGUUCGGCCGCAUUGGUACUCGACCCAAUCAUCGACGGAUUUCACAUGACACGAGUCCUAAUGGACGGUGGUAGCAGCCUCAGCCUGCUCUAUCGGGAUACAGUACACAAAAUGGGCAUUAAUCCCUCACGAAUCAAGCCCACGAUAACUACCUUCAAAGAAGUUAUACUAGGCAUAGAGGCCCGUUGUACGGGCUCAAUCACGCUGGAGGUGGUCUUCGGUUCCCCGGAUAACUUCCGAAGCGAAGAGCUAAUAUUCGAUAUCGUCCCCUUCCGCAGUGGCUACCACGCACUGCUCGGACGAACCACAUUAUGCGGUGCCACAUUAUGCUUAUCUCAAGCUCAAGAUGCCCGGUCCACGCGGCGUCAUUACAGUAAAUGGAAACACGGAACGUUCCCUCCAUACAGAGGAGCAUACCGUAGCCCUAGCAGCAGAAGUACAGAGCGGCCUUCUCAAGCGGCACCAUAAUCCGGCCGCCGAGCCCGUGGAAAUCGUUAAGAAGGUCCGGACCACACUGCAACAGGGCAGCUCGGUUCGUCAAGAGCUGAAUUAGUAAAUUCGGCCUCCGUCCCAACCCUGAUGAGGAAAUGGCAUCCGUACCGCGCGUACAUAACUACGCACUCAAAACCCCAUGGGUACUGACGGAGGCAUAACUCGCUCGCGAUCCACAGUGCAGCUUGACCGACCCUGGGAUUCGCACGCCUUUACUUUUCCUUUUUAUUACGAGUUUUUUCUCUUUUCGAGGUCUAUGCGGAUGACCCACUUGCAGAACACACCAAGGAGGCAAGGAGCUCUGGCAUACAAGGGAAUCCCCAGGUGGUCUCUACUAAACGAUUGCCAUAUUUGUUUUACAUACCCGCACGCAGCUCGCCCUUGGUUGCGGCAUGUUAAAUAGCUUUACUUGCUUAUCGCAUUACUUGCACAAAGUACGCCCCGACGUACUAAUUACAUCACAAUGGUGAAUAAAUGGUGGCAUCAGCUUAUUACUUAAUUAUCUUGUUUCCUCACCUUUGUAUAUAUUACUUAUUGCACACGUACACCAUGGUACGUAUUACUACGCCAGGGGCUUCAUUACACCCCGCAUUACGGCAAUAAAAGUCCGAACACUUUUCCAGUACAGUUCGGCACCCCGAACUUAUAGCAUUAUAUGCAUCGGCUCCGAAUCAUGUCUUUGGUCAAUAGUUGGGUUGCCCGGCUCCUGUGCUUACUACCUUACGUUCCACUAUAUCGGCUAGGGUAGUAAAGGGAGAACUACUGCGAUUGUGUCCCGGUUCUUCCGGACGAGCACCUCAGUAGAGAAAGCCGAAAACUGAUUGUCAUGGUGCGGCGAGAGCUGGUCAGCUGUUCGAGAGGUUCCAAAUCGUUAGAGAUUUUUUCCGCUUCUUGCGAAGAAUCGGUUCCUCCGAUUAGGCGUGUACAACGCCCCUAGUUCGGCCUUCCGAAUACCAGGGGCUUCGCCAACUUUCUUAAUUGUAAAACUCAUAUGGCUAAGUGAGGGCGGUAAAGGCCGCAUAGUCUGAUUGCCUUGUUCGUUGCGCUAAAGACCUCCUUUAAGGACCAAAAUGUGGAGUAAAGAGUGUUUAGAUUUAUCUCGAACACCCCCGUACUAUCUACGUGGGGGUAGAAGCCGACGACUGGUCAACCCUCAGAUUUCAUAAACGGCCGCACAGGAGGUAAAAUGUAAAUCGCAAGCAUUAUAAUACAUAACAUCAUUGUUCCAUAUUACAGGACGGGAUAAUACAAAUGUUCUCAUGGGAAUAUGACAUCCUUCAAACAUUGCUCCGCCACAAGGCGGGACCCCUCUAGGACACCAUCAAAAUAGAGCUCGGGUCGACGAUGCUCCUUUCCCUCCGGCGGCCCCUCGGUCAUCAGCUUCUUGGCAUCCAGCUUUGCCCAAUGCGUCUUGACGCGGGCAAAUGCCAUACGCGCACCUUCAAUACAGGCCGACCGCUUCACGGCUUCGAGCCGCGGACAGGCACUUACAAGCCGCUUAACAAGUCCGAAGUAGCUGCUAGGUAUAGGCUCGGUAGGCCACAGCCGGACUAUCAGGUCCUUCAUGGCUAGCUCUGCCAACCUGUGCAGCUCGACCAACUGCUUUAGCUGGUCGAUGAAGGGCACCAGAUGUUCGGGUCCAAGAUAUUGGGACCAGAAUAGCUUCUCCGUAGACAUCCCUUAUUCGGCUCUAUAAUGCUCGGCAGCAUCUGAUAUACUGCGCGGCAGAUCCAUAAACGCCCCUGGAAAACCCAAAUUCGGAUAAGUACAAGGAACGUUUCUUCUACAUACUUGCUUUGCAUGGUGAAAGACUUACCCGCCGCAAUCUUCUUGGCCGCCUAAAUUUCCUGGAGGGCGUUCUGGGCUUCGGCUCGUGCAUCCUUUGCGCUCUAGCGGGCCUUCGCCAGUUCGGACUCUUGCGCCUUACAAACGUGCUCCAAGGACUCAAAUCUCUCGAUCGCGCCCUGGAGCUGUUGCUGCGCCUCGCCAACCCGGGCCUCGUGCUUUUCGCGUGCGGCGCGUUCCUUGGCCACUUUGUCCUCGACCUCGGCUAACGCCUUCUUGAGGGCUGCCACCUCGGUCGUGGCCCCUAAUAAAGUUUAUGACACCUUAGUCCGGACGGACUAUUCAUUUUUUCUUAAAAUGUACCCGCAGGUUACCACAUACCUUGGCUAUCCUCCAGCUCCUUCCUCACGAGGCCGAGCUCCUCCUCGGCCCACUCCAGUUUCCGCUUCAGUCCGGAGACCUCUGCAGCAUGAGCGGUGGCAGCCUGCAGUGAUACCUGCUUAUUCACAUAGAUAACUUAUGUUAGACUCCUGGGAUAUUUCUUCUUGAUCCUCUGUUCGGCUUUUUCUUCCCGAACGCCAAACAGAGCAUCAGGGGCUAGUGUCUAUACUGUGAUAUUCUUCCUACAAACACAUUACUUACCUCAAAGCCCGAUAGAAGGCUAGUGCAGGCUUCGGUCAGUCCGCUUUUGACGAACUGAACCUUCUCUAUUACCGUGCCCAUAAGGGUGCGGUGUUCAUCCACAAUAGAGGCGCCUCGUAGCGCCUCCAGUAGAUUAUCCGGUGCCUCUGGUUGGACAGAGGUCACCGGCGGAACAGGCACAUUCCCUCCUUUUGGGGAAUGCCGUUCGCUGGACUCCGGAGCCGCGUAGAUCUCCGAAAUGGUAUCUGGCUCAGGUCCGAAGGGAGCUCGGCCCCCGUCACCAGCCCCCAUAGGGGCUUUUUCCCCCAUGUGUCCGGCGACUAAGGGAUCGUCCUGGGGCGCCACCCCGACGAUCUCCGGAGGCUCCCCCCGGUCGGGGAAGGUCUUUUGCGACACCACCUUGUCGUCACCCUUGGGAGAGACGGAAUGCGCAGGUGGCGGAGACAUGCUAGCCAUCUCCUUCGAGUCUAGCGAUCCCUCUGUCGAGGAUCGCGGGGAGCCAUCGCGUGCCGGACUGCAAUGACAAGGUUUGAGACAUAUCAAUAUUACAAAACCGGGAAAGCCAGACAUUUUUGGAUUCUGGUACUUACGAGGCGGCCUGAGGCUUGGUCCGGCGAGGUCGCUCCGGACUGCUAUCAACAUCCCACGCGGGGUUAUCCGCGAGGGAGCCUUUAACCCUCUUAGACGCCUUCACCACCGAGUUCGUGGGGGCCGCUUUCUUCUUCCUCCCCACUUCAGUUGGGGAGUCGUUUUCUUCUUCCUCUUCGUCGUCCUUGUCAGCGGACGAAGAGGAAGUCUCGCUUUCGGACGUCACGUCCGGAGUGACUUUUCGGCGAAGGCCUUUCUUGGCCCCUUUGGCCGCCUUCUUGGCCGUCUUCUCCGGCACCUCAUAAGGUGCAGGGAAAAGCAUUCUCGUCAGUAAUGGGAAUUCUUGGUAUUCGGGCAGCGGAGCCGGAUAGUUAAUCUCCUCUGCUACCUUGAUCCAGGCCUGAAAACAGGGGAAGGAAAGCUUAGGCUUUCUCCCAAAAUAUGCUAGUAGAGGGUACUCCUUGAAAACAUUAAAAGAACUUACCGAGUUAGCCUGGCGUUUUAAGCUAAGCCCGCGGUCUUCGGUCAUGGGCGGUGGCGUCUCGCCGGCCUUGAAGAGCACUUUCCAGAUUUCUUCGUGCAUCGUGCCGAAGAGCUCUAGUAGCGUCUGGUGCUUGGCCGGAUCGAACUCCCACAGAUAGCAAGUCCGGCGUUGGCACGGAAGGACCCGACGAACGAGCAUGACCUGCACCACGUUGAUGAGCUCUAUCUUCCUGUCUAUCAUAUUCUGGACGCACGUUUGGAGCCCAGACAGCUCGUCCGGGGGACCCCAGGUUAGGCCCCUCUCUUGCCAGGAGGUGAGCCGCAUCGGGAUUCCGGAUCAGAAUUUGGGGCCACCGCCCAGUUGGCGUCGCGUGGCUCGGAGAUAUAGAACCACCCCGAUGGCCACCCCUUCACCAUCUCCGUGAAUGUGCCCUCGGGCCAGGUAACGUUGGGCAUCUUGCCCAGCAUGGUGCCUCCGCACUCUGCUUGUUGGCCGCUCACCACCUUCGGCUUCACAUUGAAGGUCUUCAACCAUAGGCCGAAAUGAGGCGAGAUGCGGAGAAAGGCCUUGCACAUGACAAUGAAUGUCGUGAUGUUGAGAAUGAAGUUAGGGGCUAGGUCAUGAAAAUCUAGCCCGUAGUAAAACAUCAAUCCACAGACGAAGGGGUGAAGAGGGAAGCCCAGCCCGCGGACGAAAUGUGUAAGAAACACAACCCUCUCAUGGGGCUCUGGAGUAGGGACGAUCUGUCCCUUGGCCGGGAGUCUGUGGGCGAUCUCCUUGGCCAGAUAUCCGGCCUCCCGGAGCUCCUUGAUAUCCCUCUUCGUAACGGAGGAGGCCAUCCACUUGCCUCCAGCCCCGGAUCCGGACAUCUUUGGAGUGCUUUCUCGGACAAGGGAAAAGCUAAAGACUUGGGCGCUGGAGCUCAGGGACGGAAGGGCUGAGGAGGAACCGAGGUGUGGGUGAAGAAAGGGAAUUCUUAUCCCCUUAUAAAGGCCAUGAAUAUCAAGCGCCUCCCCACUCGCCUUAAACUCGCCUAUUUCCAAGAGCUGUGCGAACGGCACGGUUGGGUCACCCACGCCCGCAUUGAUGAGAAUCCCACAAUAAGGGGACACGAUCUCUGCUUCGACAGGACGUGCCAAUGGCAACCGCGUCUCGAAAUGCGGGGCGGCAGACGAAAAACGGUUCGCAAAUUGUGGCCGGUCAGGCGUGAUGUCAUGCUGCAAAAAAGUUGUCAGCGGAUGGAACUCGUGUAAAAAUAUAUUCUCUGUACAGUUGUGUAUGGUGUGUGUGACAGGUCCGGAUACUAUCAUCGCAUCCGAAGACUAUCUUGGAGUUCGAAAAAGGGGAACCUGCCUUGCAAUGCCGAAGACAAUCUACGCGCCGGACUCCUCGUCAUUGAAGCCAGGUUCAGGGGCUACUGAGGGAGUCCUGGACUAAGGGGUCCUCGGGCGUCCGGCCUGUUAUCCAUUGGGCCGGACUGAUGGGCUGUGAAGACAUGAAGGCCGAAGACCGUACCUGUGUCCGGAUUGGACUCUACUUGGCGUGGAAGGCAAGCUUGGCGGCUGAUUAUGAAGAUUCCUUCUUAUGUAACCGACUCUAUGUAAACCCUAGAUCCCCCUGGUGUCUAUAUAAACUGGAGGGGGUAGUCCGGAAAGGACACGUUCACAUUACCAUAGUCAUAUAGGCUAGACUCCUAGGGUUUAGGCAUUAUGAUCUCGUGGUAGAUCAACUCUUGUAAUACUCAUAUUCAUCAAGAUCAAUCAAGCAGGAAGUAGGGUAUUACCUCCAUAGAGAGGGCCCGAACCUGGGUAAACAUCGUGUCCCCCGUCUCCUGUUACCAUCGAUCCUAGACGCACAGUUCGGGACCCCCUACCCGAGAUCCGCCGGUUUUGACACCGACAAUGCGCGCCUCCACCUGGCCGCUGCCUCCUCUCUUCACUAGGGCCCAUGAAGGCCCAUUAACCCCCUGGGGGGUUCCGGUAACCUCCAGGUACUCCGGAAAAUGUCUGAACCCUUUCGAAACCAUUCCCGUGUACAAACAUAACCUUCCAAUAUAUCAAUCUUUAUGUCUCGACCAUUUCGAGACUCCUCGUCAUGUCCGUGAUCUCAUCCGGGACUCCGAACAAACUUCGGUUCAUCAAAUCACAUAACUCAUAAUACAAAUCGUCAUCCAACGUUAAGCGUGCGGACCCUACGGGUUCGAGAAAUAUGUAGACAUGACCGAGACACAUCUCUGGUCAAUAACCAAUAGCGGAACCUGGAUGCUCAUAUUGGCUCCUACAUAUUCUACAAAGAUCUUUAUCGGUCAAACCGCAUAACACCAUACGUUGUUCCCUUUGUCAUCGGUAUGUUACUUGCCCGAGAUUCGAUCGUCGGUAUCAUCAUACCUAGUUAAUUCUCGUUACCAGCAAGUCUCUUUACUUGUCCCGUAAUGCACCAUCCCAUAACUAACUCAUUAGUCACAUUGCUUGCAAGGCUUAUAGUGAUGAGCAUUACCGAGAGGGCCCAGAGAUACCUCUCCGAUACACAGAGUGACAAAUCCUAAUUUUGAUCUAUGCCAACUCAACAAACACCACCGGAGACACCUGUAGAGCAUCUUUAUGAUCACCCAGUUAUGUUGUGACGUUUGAUAGCACACAAGGUGGUCCUCCGGUAUUCGGGAGUUGCAUAAUCUCAUAGUCAGAGGAACAUGUAUAAGUCAUGAAGAAAGCAAUAGCAAUAAAACUAAACGAUCAUUAUGCUAAGCUAACGGAUGGGUCUUGUCCAUCACAUCAUUCUCUAAUGAUGUGAUCCCGUUCAUCAAAUGACAACGCAUGUCCAUGGUCAGGAAACUUAACCAUCUUUGAUUAACGAGCUAGUCAAGUAGAGGCAUACUAGGGACACUCUGUUUGUCUAUGUAUUCACACAUGUACUAGGUUUCCGUUUAAUACAAUUCUAGGAUGAAUGGUAAACAUUUAUCUUGAUAUAGGGAAAUAUAAAUAACAACUUUAUUAUAGCCUCUAGGGCAUAUUUCCUUCAAUAUUUUGUUCUAAGUAUCGAGUUGUAAUUUUUGAGUUGUAAGUAAAUAUAAGUGUGAUGAUCAUCAUUAUUAGAGCAUUGUCCCAGUGAGGAAAGGAUGAUGGAGACUAUGAUUGCCCCACAAGUCAGGAUGAGACUCCGGACGAAAAAAAAGAGGCCAAAAAAGAGGAGAGGGCCCUAAAAAAAUUGAGAGAAAAAGAUAGAAGGGGCAAUGCUAGUAUCCUUUUACCACACUUGUGCUUCAAAGUAGAACCAUGAUCUUCAUGAUAGAGAGUCUCCUAUGUUGUCACUUUCAUAUACUAGUGGGAAUUUUUCAUUAUAGAACUUGGCUUUGUAUGUUCCAAUUAUGGGCUUCCUCAAAUUGCCCUAGGUCUUCGUGAGCAAGCGAGUUGGAUGCACACCCACUUAGUUUCUUUUUGAGCUUUCAUAAACUUAUAGCUCUAGUGCAUCCGUUGCAUGGCAAUCACUACUCACUCACAUUGUUGGGCAUCUCCAUAGCCCGUUGAUACGCCUAGUUGAUGUGACACUAUCUCCUUCUUUUUGUCUUCUCCACAACCACCAUAUUCUAUUCCACUUAUAGUGCUAUGUCCAUGGCUCACGCUCAUGUAUUGCAAGAAAGUUGAAAAAGUUUGAGAACAUAAAAAGUAUGAAACAAUUGCUUGGCUUGUCAUCGGGGUUGUGCAUGAUUUGAAUAUUUUGUGUGAUGAAGAUGGAGCAUAGCCAGACUAUAUGAUUUUGUAGGGAUAAAUUUCUUUGGCCAUGUUAUUUUGAGAAGACAUGAUUGCUUUAUUAGUAUGCUUGAAGUAUUAUCAUUUUUAUGUCAAUAUUAAACUUUUGUUUUGAAUCUUAUGGAUCUGAAUAUUCUUGCCACAAUAAAGAAAAUUACAUGGAUGAAUAUGUUAGGUAGCAUUCCACAUCAAAAAUUCUGUUUUUAUCAUUUACCUACUCGAGGACGAGCAGAAAUUAAGCUUGGGGAUGCUUGAUACGUCUCCAACAUAUCUAUAAUUUUUUAUUGUUCCAUGCUAUUAUAUUAUCUAUCUUGGAUGUUUUAUAUGCAUUUAUAUGCUAUUUUAUAUGAUUUUUGGGACUAACCUAUUAACCUAGAGCCCAGGGCCAGUUUCUGUUUUUUCCUUGUUUUUGAGUUUCACAGAAAAGGAAUAUCAAACGGAGUCCAAUUGACCCGAAAAUUUACGGAGAUUAUUUUUGGAAAAUAUGAAAAUAGUGGAAUGAAAAGAUAUCUGAGAGGAGCCCCGGGGCCACCACAAGGGUGGAGGACGCCCCCUAGGGUGCGCCCCCCGUCCUUGUCGUCACCUCGUGGGCCCCCUUGACAUGUUCCCGAUGCCAACACCUCCUAUAAAUCUCAAAACCCUAGAAUAGAACAGAGAUCGGGAGUUCCACCGCCGCAAGCCUCUGUAGCCACCAAAAACCAAUCGGGACCCUGUUCCGGCACCCUGCCGGAGGGGGAAAUCAUCACCGGUGGCCAUCUUCAUCAUCCCGACGCUCUCCAUGACGAGGAGGGAGUAGUUCACCCUCGGGGCUGAGGGUAUGUACCAGUAGCUAUGCGUUUGAUCUCGCUCUCUCUCGUGUUCUUGAUUUGGCACGAUCUUGAUGUACCACGAGCUUUGCUAUUAUAGUUGGAUCUUAUGAUGUUUCUCCCCCUCUAUCUUCUUGUAAUGGAUUGAGUUUCCCUUUGAAGCUAUCUUAUUGGAUUGAGUCUUUAAGGAUUUCAGAAAACUUUAUGUAUGUCUUGCAUGUGCUUAUCUGUGGUGACAAUGGGAUAUUCACGUGAUCUACUUGAUGUAUGUUUUGGUGAUCAACUUGCGGGUUCUGUGACCUUGUGAACUUAUGCAUAGGGUUUGGCACAUGUUUUUGUCUUGACUCUCCGGUAGAAACUUUGGGGCACUCUCUGAAGUUCUUUGUGUUGGUUUGAGAAGAUGAAUCUGAGAUUGUUAUGCAUAUCGUAUAAUCAAACCCGCGGAUACUUGUGGUGACAUUGGAGUAUCUAGGUGACAUUAGGGUUUUGGUUGAUGUGUGUCUUAAGGUGUUAUUUUAGUACAUACUCUAGGGCUGUUUGUGACACUUAUAGGAAUAGCCAAAUAGAUCGAUCAGAAAGAAUAACUUUGAGGUGGUUUCGUACCCUACAAUAAUCUCUUCGUUUGUUCUCUACUAUAGUGACUUUGGAGUGAGUCAUUGUUGCAUGUUGAGGGAUCUUCAUAUGAUCUAAUUAUGUUAUCAUUGUUGAGAGAACUUGCACUAGUGAAAGUAUGAACCCUAGGCCUUGUUUCCUAGCAUUGCAAUACCGUUUUCGCUAACUUUUACCACUUGCUACCUUGCUGUUUUUAUUUUUUUUUUCAUAUUACAAAGACCUAUAUCUACUAUCCAUAUUGCACUUGUAUCACCAUCUCUUCGCCGAACUAGUGCACCUAUACAAUUUACCAUUGUAUUGGGUGUGUUGGGGACACAAGAGACUCUUUGUUAUUUGGUUGCAGGGUUGUUUGAGAGAGACCAUCUUCAUCCAACGCCUCCCACGGAUUGAUAAACCUUAGGUCAUCCACUUGAGGGAAAUUUGCUACUGUCCUACGAAACUCUGCGCUUGGAGGCCCAACACGAGUCUACAAGAAGAAGGUUGCGUAGUAGACAUCAAGCUCUUUUUUGGCGCCGUUGCCGGGGAGGUUAGUCCCUGAAGGUAUAUCUUUAGAUCUUGCAAUCAAAUCUUUUAGUUUCUUGUUUUAUCACCAGUUUAGUCGAUAAAAUAAACCUACAAAAAAUGGAAUUGAGGUUGCCUCAUAUGCUUCAUAUUUUUAAUAUCUUUCGUGAAAACGAUGGAAAGGAAAAUUAUGCCCAAUUGAUAGAAGAAGAAUGCAAUAAAAUGUUUGGCACUAAAUAUUUGUAUGAUGAGCAUGAUUGCAAUGUUGUUAGUAUGAAUUCUUUGAAUAUCCACGAUGCUUAUGAUAUGCAAAGGCCCAAGCUUGGGGAUGCUAUGUUUGAUGAGAAUGACAUGUUUGAGAAUUUAUUUGCUGCAAUUAAUGUUUGUCCCAAGCUUGGGGAUGCUAUGUUUGAUGAAGAUGAUAUUUUUUCUCCCCCAAGUUUUGAUGAGCAAAUUUAUUUUGAUGAUAGCAUGCCUCCUAUUUAUGAUGAUUAUAUUGAUGAAAAUGGGUUUGGAAGAGUGUCAACUCUAGGUACUAAUGAUCCCACUAUUUUGGAGGGUGUUGAAUCUUAUAAUAUUUAUGAAAGUGGAUUUGGAGAGGUCAUGACUUUAUUUAGUGAUGAAUUCACUAUUUCGGAAGAGGUUCCAAUUGAUUAUGAGAACAAAGUUGCUAUCUAUGAUGAUUAUUGUGAUGACAUGUAUGCUAUAAAAAAUAAUGAUAACCAUGAAACUUGUCAUCAUGAUUUUAAUUUUCAAUUGGAUUAUGCCUCACAUGAUAGUUAUUUUGUUGAGUUUGCUCCAACUACUAUUCAUGAGAAGAAUUUCGCUUAUGUGGAGAGUAGUAAAAUUUCUAUGCUUGUGCAUCAUGAAAAUAAUGCUUUAUGUGAUGGUUAUAUUGUUGAAUUCAUUCAUGAUGCUACUGAAAAUUAUUAUGAGAGAGGAACAUAUACUUUUUCAUAUUGCAAUAAUAUCAAGUUUCCUCUCUAUGUGUUGAAGUUGCACUUGUUUUGCCUUCCUAUGCUCGUUGAUGCUUGUUCCCAUGAGUUGUUUGCACACAAAAUCCCUAUGCAUAGGAAGUGGGAUAGACUUAAAUGUGCUAGUCAUAUGCUUCAUGAUUCUCCCACUAUGUUUCAAUUCUUAUCUUUUAUGUGAGCAUCAUUGAAAUCAUCAUGCCUAGCUAGAAAGGCACUAAAGAAAAGCGCUUGUUGCGAGACAACCCAACAUUUACCCCUACUGUUUUUGUGUGUUCAAAUGAUUAAGCUACUGUAGUAAUCAUGUUUUAUAGCUUUUGUUUCAAUAAAGUGCCAAGUAAAGCCUUUGGGAUAGUGUGGAUGAGAGUUGACUUGAUUCUGUGCAAAAACAGAAACUUUUGCUCUCAGUCCAGGAAUUUUUAAAAUUCAUUGGAACAUGAUUGAGAUCUGAAUUUUUACACAAGAUUGAUAUACAAAUUUCCCAGGUUGUCCUAAUUUUUCAGAAUGUUUGGAGUUACAGAAGUAUGGAAAGUUUCCAUAUUACUACAGACUGUUUUGUUUUUGACAGAUUCUGUUUUCUUUGUGUUGUUUGCUUAUUUUGAUGAAUCUAUGAGUAGUAUCGGAGGGUAUGAACCAUGGAGAAGUUGGAAUACAGUAGAUAUAACACCAAUAUGAAUUUAGAAUGAGUUCACAAAAGUUAUUUUAGUACGAACUCUAGGGCUGUUUGUGACACUUAUAGGAAUAUCCCAAUAGAUCGAUCAAAAAGAAUAACUUUGAGGUGGUUUCGUACCCUACAAUAAUCCCUUUGUUUGUUCUCCGCUAUUAGUGACUUUGGAGUGACUCUUUGUUGCAUGUUGAGGGAUUGUCAUAUGAUCUAAUUAUGUUAUCAUUGUUGAGAGAACUUGCACUAGUGAAAGUAUGAACCCUAGGCCUUGUUUCCUAGCAUUGCAAUACCGUUUUCGCUCACUUCUACCAUUUUCUACCUUGCUUUUUUAUAUUUUCAGAUUACAAAAACCUAUAUCUACUAUCCAUAUUACACUUGUAUCACCAUCUCUUCGCCGAACUAGUGCACCUAUACAAUUUACCAUUGUAUUGGGUGUAUUGGGGACACAAGAGACUCUUUGUUAUUUGGUUGCAGGGUUGUUUGAGAGAGACCAUCUUCAUCCUACGCCUCCCACGGAUUGAUAAACCUUAGGUCAUCCACUUGAGGGAAAUUUGCUACUGUCUUACAAAAACUCUGCUCUUGGAGGCCCAACACGAGUCUACAAGGAGAAGGUUGUGUAGUAGACAUCACUUGGCUCGCAGGCAUAGAAGUCGCCGGGCCUAGACGGUUUCAACGAGAUUUUCUUCUGCUCUUGCUGGGAAACUAUCAUGGAGGACAUCAUGCUUGUGUUUGAUCAGUUUCAUAGGAUGGCAUAGAGAAAUCUGGCCACUAUAAACUUUACCAUGAUCGUCCUGAUUGCCAAAAAAGACAGAGUUGUUUCACUAGUAGACUACAGUCCGAUAAGCAUGAUCUACUCCAUUGCAAAACUGACCGCAAAAUUUCUAUCCAUCAGACUGGCCCGUGUCAUCGACACGCUGAUCUUGCCGACUCAGAGUGUCUUCCUCAAGUCAAAGUGCAUCCAUGAAAAUUUUAUGUAUGUCCAAAACCGUGUCAAAUCUCUCCACCGAAAGUAGAAACACUACUAGAAUUUUCGUAUACACCGAGUGUCGGCGUCUUAGCCGAGAGCCAAUACACGGGCACUCGGCAAAGUAAAGAACGCCGAGAGUCGCACUCGGCAAAGGGAGUAAGCCGGCAAACACACGACAAUGUCGACAAUAUUGCUCGGCAAACAGGCUAUACUCGGCAAAGGCACUAUAUGCCGAGGGCCAUCUAGCCACACACGGCAAAGUUUUGCCACAUGGCACAUUCGGCGUCGACUAACGGCACGAUUACGGUUGCAACUCUUUGCCGAGAGUGGCGCUCGGCAAAGAUUUAGUCCCACCUCGCCUGCCGACUAGCAAAAUGACCUGUUUAAAUAGUUCAAUAGUCCAACCGCAGAAAGCUUCGGUCUUCUCUCAUUACUAAGAGUCCAUACAGUCACUAUGAAUCUUCUAGUGGCUGUUACCCGAGAGUGGCUCUCGGUAAAGAUAAGGUAACCAUCAAAGUUUAGUCCCACCUCGCCCCCCGAGCAAGUCCUGCACCAGCUUAAAUACCUUCAUCUAUUAGAUUGUUACAAGCGUGGGUGUUCCUUGCACUCUAUUUGGAGGAUAUGUAGGAUGAGUAUGAUUUAUCAUUUGUAUUCAUCGUGUAUAUUCUUCAAGUGGAGAGCAUGGAUGGUUGAUGUAUUUUUUUGGAUUUAUCAGCCUAUAUUUUUUUCCACGAGCAAAAUUUAAUUUGUCCACUACAUCUAUUUCCAAAUUUUCUCAUGCAAAAUACACAAGCUACACGCUGGCCACAAAGAAACCAUGAUUCUUUAAGUUUUGCCACAGGCUAUACUCGGCUACCUGAGAGUGGCUCUCGCUAAACGAGCAGUUGCCGAGAGUUUGGACGCGUUUCGAGUAAGCCUCCCUUGAGGCCGCUUGUAAACCGCAGCGUCUCCGAGCUAGAAUCUGGGUAUCGAGAGGGAACGUGUCCGGUUUGUGCAGGAAGUCCUGGUCCUGUUGCUCCGUUGGCCUUGAAACUUCUCGUGCUCUAAGAGGGGGCAACCGCAUGGCACGUGCAACGGCCUCGCAUUUUUCGGGGACGCGCGCAAUAUUCAAGAAAUUUAUUGCUCUUGUAGGGUUUCAUCGCCGGGAAUUGCAAAUCAGCAAGGUGGCACAUGAAAUCAUGCCGGGUAGUGGCAUGGGGAAUCAUUUGUGAUGUCCUUGUGGCAUUCCUACGCCUUGCACAGAUGAGGGAGGGUCAUGCCCUGCCACCGGGUUACCAAAAGUACCUCGGUGUCAUUCCUGAUGCAACCGUUGAAAUCCUUGGAAAAUUGUACGAUGGUAGGAUUGCUUGGGAUCUGGGACGGUGUCAUCACAGGGCCUCUGUAGGGUGUGGUAAAAGUUUGGACGCGUUUCGAGUAAGCUUCCCCUGAGGCCGCUUGUAAACCGUAGCGUCUCCGACCUAGUAUGUGGGUAUCAAGAGGGAACAUGUCCGAUUUUGUGCAGGAAGUGCUGGUCAUGUUGCUCUGUUGGCCUCGAAACUUCUCGUGCUCUAAGAGGGGGCAACCGCAUGGCACGUGCCACGGCCUCGCAUUUUUCGGGGACGCGCACAAUAUUCGAGAAACUUAUUGCUCUACUAGGGUUUCAUCGCCGGGAAUUGCAGAUCAGCAAGGUGGCACAUGAAAUCAUGUCGGGUAGCGGCAUAAUCAUUUGUGAUGUCCUUGUGGCAUGCCUACGCCUUGCACAGACGAGGGAGGGGCAUGCCCUGCCACCGGGUUACCAAAAGUACCUCGAUGUCAUUCCUGAUGCAACCGUUGAAAUCCUCGAAAAAUCGUACGAUGGUAGGAUUGCUCGGGAUCUGGCACGGUGUCACCACAGGGCCUCUGUAGGGUGUGGUAAAAGUUUGGACGCGUUUAGAGUAAGACUCCCCUGAGGCCGCUUGUAAACUGCAGCAUCUCCGAGCUAGUAUCUGGGUAUCGAGAGGGAACGUGUCCAGUUUGUGCAGGAAGUGCUGGUCCUGUUGCUCCAUUGGCCUCAAAACUUCUCAUGCUCUAAGAGGGGGCAACCGCAUGGCACGUGGCACGGCCUCGCAUUUUUCGGGGACACGCACAAUAUUCGAGAAAUUUAUUGCUCUGGUAGGGUUUCAUCGCCGGGAAUUGCAGAUAAGCAAGGUGGCACAUGAAAUCAUGUCGGGUAGCGGCAUGGGGAAUCGUUUGUGAUGUCCUUGUGGCAUGCCUACGCCUUGCACAGACGAGGGAGGGGCAUGCCCUGCCACCGGGUUACCAAAAGUACCUCGGUGUCAUUCCUGAUGCAACCGUGGAAAUCCUCGAAAAAUCGUAUGAUGGUAGGAUUGCUCAGGAUCUAGCACGGUGUCAUCACAGGGCCUCUGUAGGGUGUGGUAAAAGUUUGGACAUGUUUCGAGUAAGCCUCCCCUGAGGCCGCUUGUAAACCGCAGCCUCUCCGAGCUAGUAUCUGGGUAUCAAGAGGGAACGUGUCUGGUUUGUGCAGGAAGUGUUUGUCCUGUUGCUCUGUUGGCCUCGAAACUUCUCGUGCUCUAAGAGGGGGCAACCGCAUGGCAUGUGCCACGGCCUCGCAUUUUUCGGGGACGCGCGCAAUAUUCGAGAAAUUUAUUGCUCUGCUAGGGUUUCAUCGUCGGGAAUUGCAAAUCAGCAAGGUGGCAAAGAAAUCAUGUCGGGUAGCGGCAUGGGGAAUCAUUUGUGAUGUCCUUGUGGCAUGCCUAUGCCUUGCACAGACGAGGGAGGGGCAUGCCCUGCCACCGGGGUACCAAAAGUACCUCGUUGUCAUUCCUGAUGCAACCGUUGAAAUCCUCAAAAAAUCGUACGAUGGUAGGAAUGCUCGGGAUCUGGCACGGUGUCAUCACAUGGCCUCUGUAGGGUGUGGUAAAAGUUUGGACGCGUUUCGAGUAAGCCUCCCCUGAGGCCGCUUGUAAACCGCAGCGUCUCCGAGCUAGUAUCUGGGUAUCGAGAGGGAACGUGUCCGGUUUGUGCAGGAAGUGCUGGUCCUGUUGCUCCAUUGGCCUCGAAACUUCUCGUGCUCUAAGAGGGGCAACCGCAUGGCACGUGCCACGGCCUCGCAUUUUUCGGGGACGCGCGCAAUAUUUGAGAAAUAUAUUGCUCUGCUAGGAUUUCAUUGCCGAGAAUUGCAGACCAGCAAGGUGGCACAUGAAAUCAUGUCGGGUAGUGGCAUGGGGAAUCAUUUGUGAUGUCCUUGUGGCACGCCUACGCCUUGCACAGAUGAGGGAGGGGCAUGCCCUGCCACCGGGUUAGCAAAAGUACCUCGGUGUCAUUCCUGAUGCAACCGUUGAAAUCCUCGGAAAAUCGUAUGAUGGUAGGAUUGCGCGGGAUCUGGCACGGUGUCAUCACAGGGCCUCUGUAGGGUGUGGUAAAAGUUUGGACGCGUUUCGAGUAAGCCUCCCCUGAGGCCGCUUGUAAACCGCAGCGUCUCCGAGCUAGUAUCUGGGUAUCGAGAGGGAACGUGUCCGAGCUUGUAAACCCCAUCGGCGCCCCCCGACCCCGCCGGCGCCCCCCUCCCCAACCCCGUCGGCGACCCCCCAACCCCGCCGGCACCACCUCCCCCUCUCGGUGAGCUUCAUCCCCCCUCCCCGAUCUUGUAUUUAUGCAUGAGUGUAUGCAUGGAUGCAUGGAUUUUUAUAUGGAUGAAAGGAAUUAUGGAUGCAUGGAUUUUUAUAUGGAUGCAAGGAUUGAUGGAUGCAUAGAUGUAUGAAUGUAUAUAUGUAUGUAUUAAUGCAUGAACUUUUUUUGUAGUAAAUUUUUUGGUAGUUUUUGUUAUGUAUCAAUAUAUAUAUGGAUGUAUGUAUUUGUCACACACGAUGGAUUCGCCCAGCUUGACCAUCACCGUAAGUCGAAAUAUCCGUGAGAUAGUGUCCACCAUAUAUACCACCAGUAGAGAGAGUUCCACCAUAUAUACGUGAGAGAUACGAGAGUUCUUAUUGGAGGAAGAAAAUCGACUUUUGACGAUGGCGGUUGAUCUGGGCGAGUUCUUCUUGUGAUAUACAUUUGUCACGCACGAUGGACUCACCCAGCUCGACCAUCACCGAAAGUCGAAAUAUCAUGAGAUAGUGUCCACCAUAUAUACCACCAGCAGAGAGAGUUCCACCACAUAUACGUGAGAGAGAUGAGAGUUGUUAUUGCAGGAAGAAAAUCGUCUUUUGCCGAUGGCGGUCGACCUGGGCGAGUUUGUCCUGUGAUAUACAUUUUUCACGCACGAUGGACUCGCCCAGCUCGACCAUCACCGAAAGUCGAAAUAUCUGUGAGAUAGUGUCCAUCAUGAUUAAUUUGCUUAGAAGUAAUCUUUGAUGUUUGAUUCUUAUGCUAUUUUUCACUGUGUGAUGAAAGGUGUUAGCACCGACCGAUUUCGUGGCUAUGGCUUCCUCCGAUGAUGCAUCUUCCAUUAGGGUUGACUAUGUGGUCAAGGAGAAGCUCGCCGAGAACCGCUUGGCGGCGCUCAUUGAGAAGAACCCGUGGCUGAUCCUAAUAAAGUAUUUUGAGGAUCUGGCGAAGAAGAAUCCCCCAGCCAAGGAGAAGAAGGCCCCACCACGUAAGGAGUGUGACGACUCGACGCCAUUGAGUCCACCGACGUACAUUCCCGACGACGCUUGAUCCUCCACCGUAGGUGAUGCCCCGACGUGCUCUGACUCCACGAUCAUCGGUUUCACGGACUACACCUCUGAGUAGUCCACCUAGAUAGUUUGGCGUUGAUUUAGUGAUGUAGUCAUGCAGGUGUUGAUAUGGACUUCUUAGAUUGCCACUUGCGAUGCUUUGGAUUGUAGUAUGAGUGAUGAACGCUUACAUGGAUUAUGUAUGAUGUGCUAUUUUUAACCUUGCAUUAUUUCUCUACCUUUUUUCUCUAUCUUUGUAGAUGAAGUGGUAUGCGGUGUACAGAGGUAGAUGUCCAGGAGUCUACGAUUCAUGGUCUGAAUGCAAUGAACAAGUGAUUUACUAUGAAGGCAGCUCCCACGACUCGUUCAAUAGCAGAGAGAAGGCAGAGUAUCAUUACAAUCAGUAUGUGCUUAAGCAGAAGAGAAAAACUGAAUUAGUGGGUUCAGUGGAUGGGUUGACUGGAUGUGAUAGUCAGAAACGUCUUAUCGGGUUUAGUGGAUGGAAGAACUUGAUAAUUCUUCUUCAGUUUGUGAUAAUUGUGGUGUUGCUUUUAUCUUGUGGUCGCAUGUAGAAAUGCAUUGAUCACUUUAUUGUUUAGUAAGCAUUUGUACUAAAGAGCUACCAGCUUGUGAUCUCAAAAGAAGUUCGUGUGAACUAUUUUAUGUAAUGGUUAUGUGAGUUUGUUGUUAGGCAUUGAGACUUGAAAUGCUUGUUUGUGUAUUGUAUAGAAAUUUUUGCAGCAGGGAUCAGGGGGAAAGCAGUAAAAAGUUGUCUGGGAACGGAUCUUUGUCGAGAGCCACUCUCGGCAAACAGCUGACAGAACCAGCCGACGUGAAAGUCACUUUAGUUUGCCAAGUUGUACUGUUUGGCUCUCGGCAAAGUCUUUGCCGAGUGCCCGUGCGCUGGCUCACGGCAAAUUUAUGUUUGCCGGAGAGGUGUACGCAGGCUUUGCUGGCAGUUAUAGGCCCUUUGCCGAGUGUCCGUGGCACUCGGCGUAUAACUAGAUUCCAGUAGUGAAACUGGCUCUACUCAUCAAGUUAGACAUCACAAAAGCUUUUGAUUUGGUGUCCUUGGAGUACCUGCCAGAUCAGCUGCAAAGAUGGGGUUCAGCAUGUGGUGGCGAGACUAAAUCGCGGCACUCCACUCAACCUCCUCCUCCUCGUGCCAGCUCAACGGCGUGGUAGGUGCGAAGAUGGAUCACCAUCGUGGCCCGCAACAGGGUGACCCUCUGCCUCUAUUGCUAUUCAUCCUUGCGAGCAACCCUUUGCACCACUUGAUCACCUGAGCAUCAGGGGCGGAGACAGGGGCGAGCAGGGGCUNNNNNNNNNNNNNNNNNNNNNNNNNNNNNNNNNNNNNNNNNNNNNNNNNNNNNNNNNNNNNNNNNNNNNNNNNNNNNNNNNNNNNNNNNNNNNNNNNNNNNNNNNNNNNNNNNNNNNNNNNNNNNNNNNNNNNNNNNNNNNNNNNNNNNNNNNNNNNNNNNNNNNNNNNNNNNNNNNNNNNNNNNNNNNNNNNNNNNNNNNNNNNNNNNNNNNNNNNNNNNNNNNNNNNNNNNNNNNNNNNNNNNNNNNNNNNNNNNNNNNNNNNNNNNNNNNNNNNNNNNNNNNNNNNNNNNNNNNNNNNNNNNNNNNNNNNNNNNNNNNNNNNNUAUAUAUGUACUGGUGUAUUGGAGUCCUGGCCUAAUUAGAGAUGCUAAUGGCCGAGUAAUCACUUGAUUAAUGAUAGCCCAGCUUGAUCAAAUCCUGGAAUUAGUACGCAACAAACUAAGCCCAGUAGCCCAUGUGCCAUCACGGCCUUUCCCCAUACCCCAUGUAUGUAGUAACUGUUUUGCCGAGCGCAUGUGCCAUCGAUCAGAUCAAUUGAUUGAUCCCCUGUACGUGCAUCUGGCUGCUAGGGCGCUUGCCGCCGCCGCCAUCGCUCGCCACGACGCCAUCUACGGCUAGGCGCCGGGAGGCCACCCUUUCGAUACAAGCAGGUACUAGUACCAAUAGUGGCUAUUAGCUAUUAGUAAUUCUAUUUUAUGAAUGAGAACGUUACUCUGAAUGUUAGUAUUUCUUUUGAUUUAGUUUCUGGGAUAGAUCGCCGCCGCCUGCAUGCGCUAGGGCAUUGGAGCAUUGCCAUCAGCUGUCUCAAGGAAGAUUUGGCGGUUCGUUGAGUCUAUAGCUAGCGUCAACCGUCGACACAAGCUCGUCCCAAUGAAGCAGUUGUCGCUUGUUGGUGAGUAUCAAGUCCUAUACCAUAGUCUUAUGCUUCAUGUGGUCAGAGUUAAACCAAAAUCUCAAGUUAUAUCCAACAUAUAAUAAGACUACACAAAUUACGAGGUAAUGUUAUUGUUACAUUGGUUACUACAAAUCAUAAACUUGUAUAACAACUAUACAGCAAGAUGACCGGAAUUUUUUUUUUUUUGGUUUGUUAGGUUUCGAGAAUGAUAUUGUUGACUUGUUUGAUAUAUAGGUAAUAGGUUUUGCGGUCUAGAGUUAUACUUAAAUAAACUAACAAAAGUGUUAUUUUAUUCCAAAUUGUGAACUAUAUGUACUUGCAAUUUGAUUCCAUUGAUAUAUACAAUAGACUUCUACAAUGUUAUAUAUGAUUGGUUGGUUUUGGCUUCUUCUCGCCUCCCUCAUGCUCAAAUCCUGGCUCCGCCCCUGAUGAGCAUCCUCGCACCGCUUCCCGGCAGAGAGCUCAAGCUGUGCGUCAGUUUUUACGCCGACGACGCACUCAUCUUCGCAAAACCUGACAGACAAGAAAUCGACAAGCUGCUACAGAUUUUGAAACAGUUUGGGGACACCUCGGAACACACGUAGCUCCGAGGUGCCGCAUCGGUCUGUCGCGUGCUUCUACAGUUUCUUUGGCUUUUCAGUUUUUCGUUUUCCUCAGUUUUCAGUCUGAGCCUGAACCCCAACCCAUGAUAGUUUGAUCAUGGCGAUUUGUUUUCCCGCCCUCUAUCUGCUAUACUAGUAACAUUGAAAGCCAGCGGUUGCUUGAUCUCUGUAAAAUAAAAAGUCAUAUUUAUACUAGUCCAGCAAAGAAUCUUGUCCUGGCAAUAGAGUCCUGCGAGUAUAUUUCUGUCCGCAAUGGACACGAUUGAGAUGACGCUCGCUGCAGCAAGGCGUCGGACCUUUGGGUCUGCGCCAUCCCCUCUCGAUUGGAUGUCCCCGGUCAAUUCCUGAGGCAGAUAAACACGUCGCUCUGCUUUUUGGCAUCUUUCACGAGCAAAGCCCGGCAAAUUUGAUAAAUUUGACCUGAGGACGAAAUCAAAAUCACAGAAUAAACUGUCCGUGAAACUAUUUCACGCAGCUGACCUUUUUGUGUGACGCCCGACACGAAGGCGCCACAUUACACUGUGCAACGCCUCACAGAUAGGCGUUACUGUGAGGCGUUGCACAGUGUAGUGUGGCGCCUUCGUGUCGGACGUCACACAAAAAAGUCAGCCGCGUCAUUCUGUAAUUUGAUUUCAUCCAUAGAUCAAAUUUGUCGAUUUUGCUGCAAAGCCCGCCCGUCGUCGUCUACAGGCCGGGGCCGGGGCUGGCAGAAGGGACAGGACAAGAAGCACGCAGCGCCUGAGAUUUCACUCGGCGGACCGGGGUUUCUGUGAGUUGGACGAGGUGCUGCACGCUGCCACUUUCGGCACCAAAGUAUAAAAGCGCAGCCGCCCCGAUUCCGGCGUACGUACGCACCGUGGCUGCAGCUCCGGCCACUGCCACCCAACAUCGGUAUGCUGCAUCGGCUUCUCCAAGGCAUCGCUGCGUCACGGGUUACGACAGAGGCAGCACUCAGCUCAGCCGAUGCAUGUAAUACCAUCUCCUUGCGUCGUCUCUUCCGCCCGACGCGCCCAUGCACCGCGACGCGAGGCGCACAUCCAGUUAUCCACCGCUCUAUCUACACAACACCGUAGGCAUCGGCGCACGUCCCAGGUUCAGUAAUAGUACAUGGCAUAUAGUAAGUGGCAAAGGUUCAGUGCAUGCUAGCAUUGAAAAUCUCCUACGUCGUGGCAUGCAUGCAUGCAUGCACGUCAAAGAGUCUCACAUUGCGGCAAAAUUGUCGGCACCUCCCAGACAAGUUAAGGCGCCAACCAUGCAACGACAUGCAUCGCACCCCCACCCUCGCAUCGCAGGGGUCGGCCGAUCACAACACGGCCUCCCCCUCAAGCUUUAUCAUCGGUCCUCCUGCACCACCGUGCAUGUGGGCAUGUUGCCCUAGCUAGCUACCUACUACGUCCCUGCGCUGCGUGCUAUGCUAGCCACUCACUCACUCAG